AUUGAACGCUGGCGGCAGGCUUAACACAUGCAAGUCGAGCGGGGGAAGGUAGCUUGCUACCGGACCUAGCGGCGGACGGGUGAGUAAUGCUUAGGAACCUGCCUAUUAGUGGGGGACAACAUCUCGAAAGGGAUGCUAAUACCGCAUACGUCCUACGGGAGAAAGCAGGGGAUCUUCGGACCUUGCGCUAAUAGAUGAGCCUAAGUCGGAUUAGCUAGUUGGUGGGGUAAAGGCCUACCAAGGCGACGAUCUGUAGCGGGUCUGAGAGGAUGAUCCGCCACACUGGGACUAAGACACGGCCCAGACUCCUACGGGAGGCAGCAGUGGGGAAUAUUGGACAAUGGGGGGAACCCUGAUCCAGCCAUGCCGCGUGUGUGAAGAAGGCCUUAUGGUUGUAAAGCACUUUAAGCGAGGAGGAGGCUACUUUAGUUAAUACCUAGAGAUAGUGGACGUUACUCGCAGAAUAAGCACCGGCUAACUCUGUGCCAGCCGCCGCAGUAA
rnacentral:rRNA from 1 species